UUGGGAAUAUUGGACAAUGGGCGAAAGCCUGAUCCAGCGACACCGCGUGGAGGAAGAAGGCCUUCGGGUUGUAAACUCCUUUUCCUUGGGAAAAUUAUGAUGGUACCAGGGGAAUAAGCACCGGCUAACUACGUGCCAGAAGCCUCGGUGAUACGUAGGGUGCAAGCGCUAUCCGGAAUUAUUGGGCGUAAAGAGUUCGUAGGUGGUUUUGUUCGUUGUGUGUUAAAUCUCCAGGCUCAACUUGGAGUUCGCACACAAGACAGCAAGACUUGAGUCCAGCAGGGGUCAGCGGAAUUGGCGGUGUAGCAGUGAAAUGCGUUGAUAUUGCCAAGAACACCAAUGGCGAAGGCAGCUGACUAGGCUGGUACUGACACUAAGGAACGAAAGCGUGGGGAGCGAACAGG
rnacentral:rRNA from 1 species